GCCCGGGUGGCUCAGUCAGUUGAGCAUCUGACUUCGGCUCAGGUCAUGAUCUCACAGCUUGUGAGUUUGAGCCCCACAUCGGGCU
rnacentral:tRNA from 1 species